ACAACUCUUGGGGUAAAGUGUGAGACUCUCGAUCUCAGGGUUGUGGGUUUGAGCCCCACAUUGGGUA